GAGGCAUUUCAAAGAUAAAACCCUCUGUCCGUGUAUGUAUAUGCAUUUCGCUCGCUCUGUUCCAAACCCGCCAUUUUUCUAUUGCUAAAAUCGUCUUCCUUCUCUUUCUACGAUUCUUCCAAAGUCUUUUUCUAUACCCACUUGCUCUUAGCCUUAGCACAAGACUCCUUCUUCAUCGGAAUCCUAAUCUUAAAAAAUGGAUCAUUCGCUGUUAUCAUUGACUCCUCAAAGCGCUAAUCCUUCAAUUUUGAUGAAUCCACUUUUCCCCUUCCACUCCAUUUACUGCAAAAUACACCCUAUCUCUGCAACUCUCAACACAUUCAUCGCAUGCAAAAGCCCUAACUCUGCAACUCUUAACGUAUUUAUCUCCUAUUCUGAGAAAAUUUUCGAGAAAAGAUGCCGAGAAGUUCAUCUUCACGUGUUCAGAAGCUUUUCUCUCGCUGGUUCAGGCCAGACACUUCAACAAUGGAAGUGAAUACAUGUAAUGUGGAUUCGAGGAAAUGUGAGAUCUUCAUUUGCCAUUCCCCUUCUCUCGAGGUACAAAAUGGUAUUGCAAAGGACCUUCUCUUACACCUUCAGAAACUCAAUAUCUCCACUCUUUGCAGUAGAAAUUGUUCGAUCCCCAAUGAGGAGGUCAUUAAUGAGGCAACUGUGUGUAUAGUAAUUUUAACAAGGGAUUUUGCAAAUUGCACUCUUUGUCUUGAAGAGCUGAGGCUGAUGCAUCAAAGCAAGAUUCAUAUGAUUCCAAUAUUUUAUGAUGUGAGGCCCUCAGAGGUUAGAAGAACAGAGAAGGGGGUCUUCAGGCUCGCUUUUGAGGGGGCUGAGAAAUCUAUGCAAAAAGAAGAGUGGAAGUUUUUCUUGCAGAAGACAGGUUACCUCUCUGGUUGGAAAUUCAGCGAUUUUCGAUGGAAUUCACGCAAACUCUUGAAGGCUGUGGUACAAGAUGCAAUCAAAAUGGUGAAUGCCAAUGUAUUGGAAGUUGCAAAGCACCCGGUUGGCUUGGCUGAAAAAACAGAGAAACUCCAGAGGCUUUUAGAAGUUGGGCGUGAAGGUAGAGGUGCAAGGGUGCUUGGAUUGGUGGGAAUGGGUGGUAUAGGUAAAACAACACUGGCCAAAGAGUUCUUUAAUAUUAUGCGCUCUCAGUUCAAGGCAUCUUGCUUUGUUGAUGAUAUCAAGGAUAGAGUUGUAAGGGCUGGAUUGGAGAAAGUUCAAGGUUUUCUAUUGAAGGACUUACUUCAAAUAGAUAAUCAAAUUCACAGUAUUAAUCAGGGGAAAUUUCUUCUCAGAAAGUGUUUGGUUAGGGCAGAAGUCAUUAUAGUGCUUGACAAUAUUGAUGACUUUGAUCAGCUUGAUGCAUUACAGGUUCCUGAGGUUGUCCACUGCACUAGCAUAGUUUUAAUUACAACCAGAGAUAGAAGACUGGUUGAGUGUAUCCCAAAUGUCCUGAUAUAUGAUAUGGAUGGUCUUGAAAAGCAUUAUGCAAAGGAGCUUUUUUGUUGGCAUGCAUUUCUCAUGCCCCAACCUGCUCUUGGAUUUGAUGUCCUGGUCGAUAAGUUUGUCACGUACUGUAAUGGGUUGCCCCUUUCUCUGGAAACUCUUGGGGCUCAAGUUUUUGGAGAAACCAUUCAUAUCUGGGAGCGAAUACUACAGACAAUUGUUGAGAUUAUACCAGGAGAUAUUGAUAGGCAUCUUAGAGUCAGUUAUGAUGCUCUUGAUUGGUCAGAGAAGCAGAUAUUCUUGGACAUUGCAUCUUUUUUUAUCGGUGAAGAUAAAGACAUGGCCAUCAGAGUUUGGGAUGCCCUUAAGUGGUUUGGUUCUGCUGGCGUUCGGUCUCUGCAACACAAAUGCCUCGUAAAAUUGGAGAAGAAUAAGUUUCGUAUGCAUGACCAACUCAGAGAUAUGGCGGCAAAAAUAUUAGAAGAGGAGAACUUCAACAACCCUGGAUGUCGCUCUCGCCUAUGGCGGCCCAAUGAUGUUAUUAAAGUCUUGGACGAAGGAAGUGGUUCUGAAACUGUCCAGGGACUUACCCUGGUAGUGAAUGCAGUUGAAGAUGACGGUAUUCAUUCUUUUGUUGUACCAAAAUCCAAAGUCAUAAGGAAAAAAGGAGGACAUUUGCCGUGGUCUCUAAGUUCAUUUGCUCCCAUGACAGAAUUACAGUUGCUGAUACUAGAAGAUGCUUGCAUUGAAGGUGAUUUUAGUUUUCUCUCGAGGAAACUUUUAUGCUUUCGUUGGCGGCACUCCCCGAGUGAAUCUUUUCCAGUUGGAUUGCCAGUUACAAAUCUGCAUGUCUUGGACAUGUCAGGAGGAAAAUUUUCGCACUUGUGGAGCGACAUCCAGGAGAUACCUGUACAAUUGCAGGAGCUGAAUUUGAGAGGUUGUCUUUAUCUUCAGGGCUUUCCAAAAUCCAUAAAGUUGUUAACGAGACUGGAAAAACUAGUCUUGAGUCAUUGCCUUAGUCUUGUCGCAAUAUCUGAUGAAUUUUGUGAUAUUCAAGCUUUAAAAUACCUGGAUCUCUCUGGCUGUGAAAAUAUGCAAGCUUUGCCAGAUAAUAUAGGCAAUUUGAGAAAUUUGCAAUAUCUGGAUUUAUCUGAUUGUGAAAGAUUAGAGUAUUUGCCGCCUACAAUAGGAGAUCUAUUGAAGUUAGAACACUUAGAUCUUAAAGGAUGUACGGCCUUAUUAGAAAUUCCUGAAUCAUUCAAAAAACUCACAGAAAUCAGAUAUCUUGAUUUUGAACAAUGUUGCAAAUUGCAAGUUGAGAAAGAUAUCAUUGGGGGCUUUCAAAAAUUAGAGUUUUUUCGGGCCUUGUCAUGCAAAACAUUCUACUUUCCUAGUGUCAUAUCCUGUCAGAGAUGCAUCAGAAAACUUUGGGUUUCUUGUUCUCAGUUCACCGAGCUCCCUGAAUAUUUUGGGGAGCUUACCAGUUUGGAGGAACUCAGACUAUGGAAUGGGCAUGGAGUGAGAGCAUUUCCUACAACUUUGUUUACAAAGUUGACUCAAUUGAAAAAACUUACCAUUGGCCUUUUCACAUUGCUUGAGGAUUUGGGAAGUUCCGUUAAGCAUUUAAGGAAGCUUACAUUAUUUUCUAUUUUAUCUUGUCGCAUACAUUGUUUACCCAUGGAAAUGAGUGACCUAAAAAAUAUGGAGUUUCUUUUUAUCCAUAAUUGUCGAAAGCUUAUGAAGCUGCCUGUCGGCAGUCUUUCUGGUUUGGUCACCUUGUCCCUAUCUGGCACUCCUCAACUUAAAUUGGAUCCUGAAGCUUUCCCCGAGCUUUCUGCAAUAAAAAAACUGUGUAUUGAUGAGUGUGUUAUUACUGAUGGGUUCCUAAAAUUUGUUUUUGAAGGGUUUCCUUCCCUUGAAGAAUUGGAACUUGGAAAUCUAAGGCUACCCAAUAUGCUCGGUAUUGGAAAGUAUCCUGCUAAUCUCCAAUCUGUAUCAAUAUCGUCGUGCACAAAUAUCAAGGAGUUUGAGAUAGUUGGAGCAUUCAAGUCACUUCGAAUAAAGGACUGCCCAGGACUGAGGAAAAUAAUUGCUUCUAAAUUCUCUACGAAGUUACAGACAUUGUAUUUGGGUCACUGCAAGCAUCUAGUUGACGUUUGCUCCAUUGAAAAUCUGCAUAAUUUGGAAUAUCUAAAUUUUGAAGGUUGUUUCGAUCUGGAAUCCAUUGAAAAUCUUGAGAAGCUGAACAAAUUGACUGAGUUUCAUUUGUUUUUGUCGGAUAAGUAUCUUGUGGGGGGCACCAAUCAAGAAAAGAAAAAGGUCCUUAUGAAAGGCACUGACUGGUUACAGAAAUUUAUUGGGAACAAGCAGCCACAAGCUACACACUUAUCUGCAGAGGUAAAUUUGCUAACUAGCAACCUAGAUAUCCACCCAUAUUUCCAACAAAUUUUUGCCCAUUCUUCAUCCGAGUUCAAGUUCAGACUACCUCCAACUAGAAGUAUGAUGGGCACUGUCAUGAUAUGCUUUAUAUGUCAACAUUCGAAGUCCAAAAACAUAUUGAUUGGGCCUAGCGGUGGGAUGAAAAGUGUAUUGUACAGGCCGAUCGAUUUGCACUUGGUAAAUGGUGCCAAUAAAAAUCAAAUAAGCCAGUACAGAGUGUACGAUUCGGGAACAUUUCUCCAUAUUGGUAUCUUCACAGAGGAGUAUAUGGUGAUGGAGAUGUUGGCAGAGGAAAGUGAACUUGUCCUUUCCGCUGGAAGCUCUGAUCUUAUAUAUGGAGCAUGGGCCUGUUUGCUCCCAGUGAGUGAAAAGCAUUUGGUUGGUGAAAUCAUUUCUAGGCAAAUUAAUAUGCUCAAGGUCCAUAAGAAAAAUGAUAAGAAUUAUGUAGAGAGGGAGGAGGUGGAGAAGAAGAAGCUGAAGGAUGAAGUCCAAGAUUUGAUGUUCGAUAUGGAUUUGCAUAAUGUCUAUGCUCUCGACAUUGCAAACUUCAUUGUUCAGCGGACCUACAUGUUGUGCAAUACAUCUAUAUAUGAAGAGUUCUUAGGACCCUUUAGUUGGUUAAAGCGACACCAGCUUUUUUUCCCUGGCAUAAACAAGUUGCCUCAUCUAAACCUUCAACUAAGUAGUAGCUGCCUAAAACUGAUUGAGGAGCCCGCAACGGACAAGUAUGUGAUAAACUAUUGGGUUUGUACGCCUGAGAAAUCAACUAACUUCAAGUUCAGCAAAUUUGAAUUUCCUUACGAAGGUUCAUAUGCAAACCUCCUUUUGCUUGAGAGACUCUUGAAACCUUCACAGGCAUCGGCUGGAACUUCGUAAAAUUUGAGGACAAAGGUUUCUUUGAUGUUAACAACAAAUUUAAUCUUGCUGGUAUAGCUGACAUAUCAUGCUUGCCAACUACACAAAUACGGCCGGUCCACUAAAGGCAAAUAGAAAUCCAAAUGGAACAGCUGUGUGUGUGUGCACAUGCGUGUACGCCUAUGGGAGCACACAUGCAUGCUCAACUUUACUCUUAAUGGAAACCCAAAUGGUAAAACACAGAGUCAACCAAUGCUGGAAUGGACAUACUAGACUAACAGCUUCGGCAUUCUGUAAGAGGACGCUGUAUUUGGUUUUCUGAAUCAUCUAUAUGCAACUAUCCAAUGCAGGCUAUCAGAUUCUGAUGGUCUGAUAAUACCAUUUACAAUCCGUUUCAUAUAAAUAGUUCAUCAGAGUUUACAAGAAGAAUGAGAAGUGGUUGAGUAAAACAAGUGAAAAAGCCAGACGCAAUUAAUGUGAUAGUCAAUAACCAUGCUGCUUAAUAAGUAGCAGCUACCAAGAAUUCACACAUUCAAAGAACUACAAAACUAAGGGAAUCUCACUUCCAGUUUCUCUUCAAAACGAACACCAACCGGCAGAAGCAUAUGUGGAUGAGCGGGUGCUCUUCUAGGUUUUUAGAGGCAUGAGGAGCAUUAAUGAGGUGAAGCUUGAAUUCAGAAAGGGCAAUAGGUUUUGGGUUGGGGAGUGUGCAAAAAGUGCAGUUUUGGAAGGACUAUCUUUAAAGAAAUGACAAUGCAGUUUUGGAUGAGCGGGUGCUCUUCUAGGGUUUCAGAGGAAUGAGGAGCUAUUAGUGACGUGAAGCUUGAAUUCAGAAAGGGGAAUAGGUUUUGGGUUGGGGAGUGAGCAAAAAGUGCUGUUUUGGAGGGACUAUCUUUUAAAGAAAUGACAAUGCAUAUAACUGAGUGUGAUGCAAUUUGUAAAUUCUGAAGUAAAGAGCAUUGUGUCAAC